rnacentral:rRNA from 1 species
GAGAUCGGGAUAACACCUGGAAACAGAUGCUAAUACCGGAUAACAACAGAUGAUGCCUAUCAACUGUUUAAAAGAUGGUUCUGCUAUCACUCUUGGAUGGACCUGCGGUGCAUUAGCUAGUUGGUAGGGUAACGGCCUACCAAGGCGAUGAUGCAUAGCCGAGUUGAGAGACUGAUCGGCCACAUUGGGACUGAGACACGGCCCAAACUCCUACAGGAGGCAGCAGGG